UACGAAGGGUGCAAGCGUUACUCGGAAUUACUGGGCGUAAAGCGUGCGUAGGUGGUUUGUUAAGUCUGUUGUGAAAGCCCCGGGCUCAACCUGGGAAUGGCAAUGGAUACUGGCAAGCUAGAGUGCGGUAGAGGGUGGUGGAAUUUCCUGUGUAGCGGUGAAAUGCGUAGAUAUAGGAAGGAACACCAGUGGCGAAGGCGACCACCUGGACUGAUACUGACACUGAGGUGCGAAAGCGUGGGGAGCAAACAGG
rnacentral:rRNA from 1 species